GUGCACGUCGAUUCGGAUCCAUCCAACACCUGUGCAUCUUGACUCUGAGCUUGUAAUGAGCGAGGGGUAUUUUACUAUACACUUUGUAUGUAUGUGAUAGAAAACUGUGCAUUGCACAAAAUAAAAUAACAACUUUUAACAACGGAUCUCUUGGCUCUCGCAUCGAUGAAGAACGCAGCGAAAUGCGAUAAGUAAUGUGAAUUGCAGAAUUCAGUGAAUCAUCGAAUCUUUGAACGCACCUUGCACCCUUUGGUAUUCCGAAGGGUAUGCCCGUUUGAGUGUCAUUGUAAUCUCACACCAACUUUUAUUAGUUGGAGGUGGACUUGGAGGUUGCUGUUGAAAAACAGCUCUUCUUAAAUGUAUUAGUGCGGCUCUGGUUGGACUUAAGCCCGAUGUAAUAAAAAUUUCAUCGUGGUGUCUAAUCAAAUCGAGUCUGUGCUUCUAACCGUCUUCGGACAAACUACUUGACAACUUGGCCUCAAAUCGGGUAGGACUACCCGCUGAACUUAAGCAUAUCAAUAAGCGGAGGAAAAGAAACUAACAAGGAUUCCCCUAGUAACGGCGAGUGAAGAGGGAAGAGCUCAAAUUUUAAAUCUGGCGCCUUUGGUGUCCGAGUUGUAAUCUAUAGAAGUGUUUUCCGCGGUGGACCGUGUACAAGUUUCCUGGAACGGUACGUCAUAGAGGGUGAGAAUCCCGUAUGUGGCACGGACUCCCAUUGCUAUGUGAUACACUCUCAACGAGUCGAGUUGUUUGGGAAUGCAGCUCAAAGUGGGUGGUAAAUUCCAUCUAAAGCUAAAUAUUGGCGAGAGACCGAUAGCGAACAAGUACCGYGAGGGAAAGAUGAAAAGCACUUUGGAAAGAGAGUGAAACAGUACGUGAAAUUGUUAAAAGGGAAACGCUUGAAGUCAGUCGCGCCUCUUGGGAUUCAGCCUUAYUUCUGUUUGGUGUACUUCCUGUUGGGCGGGUCA
rnacentral:rRNA from 1 species